UGGGGAAUAUUGCGCAAUGGGGGGAACCCUGACGCAGCAACGCCGCGUGAAGGAUGAAGGUUUUCGGAUUGUAAACUUCUUUAGUCGGGGACGAAAAAAAUGACGGUACCCGAAGAAUAAGCCACGGCUAACUACGUGCCAGCAGCCGCGGUAAUACGUAGGUGGCAAGCGUUGUCCGGAAUUACUGGGUGUAAAGGGCGUGUAGGCGGGUCUGUAAGUCAGAUGUGAAAUUCCAAGGCUUAACCUUGGCGCUGCAUCUGAAACUAUGGAUCUUGAGUGCUGGAGAGGAAAGCGGAAUUCCUAGUGUAGCGGUGAAAUGCGUAGAUAUUAGGAGGAACACCAGUGGCGAAGGCGGCUUUCUGGACAGUAACUGACGCUGAGGCGCGAAAGCGUGGGGAGCAAACAG
rnacentral:rRNA from 1 species